AUCAUUCUGCAUGCAACAACAAAACACACCAAUGCUGCAACAAAUGCGAGAAGGCCUUGGAGUUUACAACUUUAUUAAUGUAAUGGAGAGAAAGCCAGAUGAGUGUCGCAGUCUAUUUGUUGUUGGAGAAGAUGACAAGGUUGACUCAAAUUACAUAUUGUCACACAUCGCCCCAGAAUUGAGUCCACAGGGUUCAAUAAAACAAGCAAAGGAGACCAAAAUCUUGGAGUACUUCCAAGAUUUCUUGUACGAACUUGAAGAUACACGACCAGCAGAGAAUGAGGAGACACAGACUCUAAAUGUUCCAGUGGUGAUGCAGUGGAUGACUGGGCAAGCACACAGACAUUUGCUUUUAUCAGAAAGAAAUUCUUUUAAAGUCACAGUGAUUUUUGACCACAAUUGCCUAGAACACACACCAGGCCACACUGUGUGCUACCCAGUUGUAAGUGCUUGUACCAGCACUGUGACAUUUCCAACAGCCCAUCUAGCGGAUUAUGAAUCCUUCAGGAGCAACCUUAGCACUGCAGUAAAAUAUGGAGUCACUUUUGACAGGCUGUAGGUCAGCAUGUGUUUAUAGACGACCAGAGUUUGACAAGUUGUUCUGACUUUAUUUUAUAAAAGGCAUUUUACACUGUUUUAACACUGAUAGUUCAUAGGUAAAAGAAAUGUCUCUUUGGAGAGAAUUUAUUUUCUAUCUGUUGUGGUUUAUGUAUUUUCCUCAAAAACUACAACUACUGUUCAUAGUUGUAGUUCAUUGUAUAAUGCGUUAUGUUUUCCUAAUGUUAUUGCAUCACACAGUUUUGAUAAAAAACAUGGGUUUGUGCUUGUAUUGCACACAUGCUGUAAUGCGUGUUACAUUUUAUGAUGUAGGAAGAAAAUAAUCUCACACACACACCAGCCACAGGCCACUUCAAGAGCUUGUAAAUAAAUGUCUCGGCCAAGUGAUGCAGACUCUGCCAAAGGGUUUAAUUGUUGAAGUGCAUGCACUUUUUCAGCUGACAGCGGACUGAAGAACAGGCACAUUGACCCCAUGUUCAACUUCUUCACUUUGCUGUUCUUGGGACAGCAGCUCCUCAGCAUGCUGAAUCUGCUUUGACAAAAGCCAUAGACAGAUUACUCAUAAAAAAUACCAGGGAAAAUAAAUA